GAUUGGUUGCAGGUCUCGGGGGGGGGGGGCAGCUCCGCCCCUCUCCCGGAUGGCUGUAUUAACGCAGCGCGCAGCGGCUCGGUCUUUCGGUCCCGGCCUUGGUGGUGAGUGUCCUCGUGGGAGGGUGUCAGGAUGUCCCCGUGUCCCCUCGAGCUUUGCCCGCCCCGAGCUCAGCUGCUCCCGGCGGCCAGAACGGAGGGGUAGAGCAGUUCUCAGCGGCCCGCGGGGCGGGCGGCAGUGUCCAGCCCGGGGCUGCGCGAGACACAAAGUCCUCUGUGCCGUCCGACCCGGGCACCCUGACCACCGCCCUUUCCCUCUGCAGGCCGAUCCACCCGAGCCGGUCCCCACUGCCCAGCCGUGCUGCUGCCUCGGACACAAGCGCAGGUACGUCCCGGCAUUGAUCGGAGGCAGGCCCUGGCCACGUGGCCGAGAAGACGGAGGUUCCAGGCCUGUCUUUGUUGAGCUGCGCCGGGCCUCCCCAGUCGCCCUUUCCUGUGCCCUUUUAAGGUUGUCGCAGUACUUUAAGAGGCUAACACAGAAGGGUAAAGGAACUCUCCAUAAAACCCAGAGAGGAAAACUACACCUCCUCUUUGGAUCCUGUCUGGAGUCACAAAUGAACCAAAAGCUUCAUUUAAAACUUGAAUGUGCGCAUUUUAGGUUCUGGCGAUUGCUAGGUAGUGAUAUAGGAUUUUAAAGAAAAGAAAACGUAGCCUACCUGGUUUAAUUUGGUUGGAGGAGAAAGUUCAGAAGACAAGAAUACAUUUGCUUUUCUAGAAGUGAGAUUUUAGGUCAGCUGGAAAGGAUAUAGUUGAGUAUGUUCCACUUAUGUGAAACAUUUUUAUUCUUUCAUAGGUUGAAAACUACAAGAAACCCGUGACUGAAUGGCUCCAAGGUGAAGUACUCUUGCAUGUAGUGACCAGGUUUGCCUGUAUUCCACUUUAGGAUUAGUAUCGAAGCUGAAAUAGGUGAAGUGAGGGCCAUGUGAGUUUCCUUGAAUGGCCUUGUAACUGAUUACCCUGAAGGUAGUUUGCUAAAGAUUUUAAUCAAUGUACUAGGAUCCUGCCCCACCCCUUCUUCAUGUCCCACUGCCCUAGAAUCAGAUCUGCAUGGCUAUGACAUGCUCGCCGUUUUAAAGAUGCAAAGAUUUCAUGCUAGAUCAUUAGAAUGUAUCUGGACUUCGUUAGGACAAGUUCUUUGCUAGUAACCAGUCACGUGCUAGCAAUUGAGGUGUGUUAACCUGUAUAUUGUUGCCUAUGAGUAAUUUUCCAUAAUCUUUAAUAAAGGCUUCCUGUGUCAAUUCUAUGGCUUGUUCACUUGUUCUUAUUACUGGGGAGGGGGGGGGGGGUCAGAACCACUUGGAGCAAUUUGUCCUAACACCAUGUGCGUGCGUCCCUAGGAUCAAACUCAGGCUGUCAGGCCUGGUGCCAGCCACUGCUAGCUGUAAGGUUAUUUCUUAGCAUUGUUUUUCAAUUGUUUUCCAAGCUUCUGUUUGGUGCCUAUUGAACCCACGAUUUAUAUUCAUCUAGGCCUUGUGUGUGUGAUGCUAGGGAUAUAACUUGUCCUUAGGCUGCAUGGCGCCUUUACCUGGGCCUUUUAAUUUUCAGAAGUGGUUUCAUUUUAAAAGAAGCCACCUUCAAGGAUACAAAGUUGUGUGAGUAUGCAGGGAGACAAUGGAAACUGUUACAAUUGAGUCUGAAAUAUCAAUUGUUUCUAUUUACACAAUAGCCUUAAAGUUCUCUGACCAAAGUAGACAAAACUGCAGCACAGUUCGGCUAUAAUCAUAUUGGCUACAUUGUACUGAGUACUGAGAGUACUCAGUAGCCACAUGUGGCCAGGGACAGCGCAGUACAGGUUUCUGUUACUAUAAGGUUGCUGGUAGCUAUUAUAAGCUACUCUGUAAACAUCUUGGUCUUUUUUAAGUGAGCAGCCUGUAGAUGUGCCUCCAUGAUGACAAAAUCUUAAGCGGGGUAUGGGCAGAGGAAGCUGGAGGAUGGGACAUUACCAUCACACCCUGCUUUUAAUUGGGCCAGUGGAACAUCAGUAAGAUGAGCAGGAGUCUAAAACUACCUGCUAACACCUGCACUAGCCCGAAAAAGGACACAGGCUACAUUUAAUCGAAAUGUAUAAUUUAGAAAAAUUCAAAAUAGACUGGAGAGCUGGCUCGCCACUUAGGGACCACUUGCUAUUGCAGAGGGCCUGGGUUUGGUUCCCAGCACUCACGGAGGCUCACAACCUCUAGGGAGUGUGACACCAGGAAAGCUUGGAGUGCCCAUGCAUACAUGUAAUCAAACACGGAAAGUCUUAAAAAUGCCAAAGCUACCUCGUGUAUGCUUUUAGGUUGCAAUUUCAGUGCUUAGGUUGCAGUUUUAC
rnacentral:lncRNA from 1 species